rnacentral:rRNA from 1 species
UGAGGAAUAUUGGGCAAUGCCCGCAAGGGUGACCCAGCAACGCCGCGUGGAGGAUGAAGGUCGUAAGAUCGUAAACUCCUGUUAGAGGGGAAGAAUAGCUAAGUUUGGAGCUUAGUAUGACUGUACCCUCAGAGAAAGCCCCGGCUAACUACGUGCCAGCAGCCGCGGUAAUACGUAGGGGGCAAGCGUUGUCCGGAUUUACUGGGUGUAAAGGGCGCGCAGGCGGGAUAACAAGUCAGAGGUGAAAUCCUACAGCUUAACUGUAGAACUGCCUUUGAUACUGUUAUUCUUGAGUUCGGAAGAGAGAGACGGAAUUCCAGGUGUAGUGGUGAAAUACGUAGAUAUCUGGAAGAACACCAGUUGCGAAGGCGGUCUCUUGGUCCGAUACUGACGCUGAGGCGCGAAAGCGUGGGGAGCAAACAGG